CAGAGAUACUUUAGUGCCUUCGGGAACUCUAAGACAGGUGCUGCAUGGCUGUCGUCAGCUCGUGUUGUGAAAUGUUGGGUUAAGUCCCGCAACGAGCGCAACCCUUAUCCUUGUUUGCCAGCGAGUAAUGUCGGGAACUCCAGGGAGACUGCCGGUGAUAAACCGGAGGAAGGUGGGGACGACGUCAAGUCAUCAUGGCCCUUACGAGUAGGGCUACACACGUGCUACAAUGGCGCAUACAGAGGGCAGCAAGCUAGCGAUAGUGAGCGAAUCCCAAAAAGUGCGUCGUAGUCCAGAUUGGAGUCUGCAACUCGACUCCAUGAAGUCGGAAUCGCUAGUAAUCGUAAAUCAAAAUGCUACGGUGAAUACGUUCCCGGGUCUUGUACACAC
rnacentral:rRNA from 1 species